GCCGAAAUAGCCCAGUUGGGAGAGCGUUAGACUGAAGAUCUAAAGGCCCCCGGUUCAAUCCUGGGUUCCGGCA
rnacentral:tRNA from 1 species